rnacentral:rRNA from 1 species
UACAGAGGGUGCGAGCGUUAAUCGGAAUUACUGGGCGUAAAGCGUGCGUAGCCGGUUAUUUAAGUCAGAUGUGAAAUCCCCGGGCUCAACCUGGGAAUGGCAUUUGAGACUGGUUAGCUAGAGUGUGUCAGAGGGGGGUAGAAUUCCACGUGUAGCAGUGAAAUGCGUAGAUAUGCGGAGGAACACCGAUGGCGAAGGCAAUCCCCUGGGCCUGCACUGACGCUCAUGCACGAAAGCGUGGGGAGCAAACAGG